rnacentral:rRNA from 1 species
CACAUGCAAGUCGAGGGGAAACGACAUCGAAAGCUUGCUUUUGGUGGGCGUCGACCGGCGCACGGGUGAGUAACGCGUAUCCAACCUGCCCACCACUUGGGGAUAACCUUGCGAAAGUAAGACUAAUACCCAAUGACGUCUCUAGAAGACAUCUGAAAGGGAUUAAAGAUUUAUCGGUGAUGGAUGGGGAUGCGUCUGAUUAGCUUGUUGGCGGGGUAACGGCCCACCAAGGCGACGAUCAGUAGGGGUUCUGAGAGGAAGGUCCCCCACAUUGGAACUGAGACACGGUCCAAACUCCUACGGGAGGCAGCAGUGAGGAAUAUUGGUCAAUGGGCGAGAGCCUGAACCAGCCAAGUAGCGUGCAGGAUGACGGCCCUAUGGGUUGUAAACUGCUUUUAUAAGGGAAUAAAGUGAGUCUCGUGAGACUUUUUGCAUGUACCUUAUGAAUAAGGACCGGCUAAUUCCGUGCCAGCAGCCGCGGUAAUACGGAAGGUCCGGGCGUUAUCCGGAUUUAUUGGGUUUAAAGGGAGCGUAGGCCGGAGAUUAAGCGUGUUGUGAAAUGUAGACGCUCAACGUCUGCACUGCAGCGCGAACUGGUUUCCUUGAGUACGCACAAAGUGGGCGGAAUUCGUGGUGUAGCGGUGAAA